rnacentral:lncRNA from 1 species
UUGUUCAAAAGAUGCAAAUGAUGUCAUCACAAUGGAUCCCAAAGACAAUUGGUCAAAAGAUGCAAAUGAUACACUACUGCUGCAGCUCACAAACACCUCUGCAUAUUACACGUACCUCCUCCUGCUCCUCAAGAGUGUGGUCUAUUUUGCCAUCAUCACCUGCUGUCUGCUUAGAAGAACGGCUUUCUGCUGCAAUGGAGAGAAAUCAUAACAGACGGUGGCACAAGGAGGCCAUCUUUUCCUCAUCGGUUAUUGUCCCUAGAAGCGUCUUCUGAGGAUCUAGUUGGGCUUUCUUUCUGGGUUUGGGCCAUUUCAGUUCUCAUGUGUGUACUAUUCUAUCAUUAUUGUAUAAUGGUUUUCAAACCAGUGGGCACACAGAGAACCUCACUCUGUAAUAACAAUGAGGAAUAGCCAUGGCGAUCUCCAGCACCAAUCUCUCCAUGUUUUCCACAGCUCCUCCAGCCAACCCAAAUAGCGCCUGCUAUAGUGUAGACAGCCUGCGGCUUCUAGCCUUGUCCCUCUCUUAGUGUUCUUUAAUCAGAUAACUGCCUGGAAGCCUUUCAUUUUACACGCCCUGAAGCAGUCUUCUUUGCUAGUUGAAUUAUGUGGUGUGUUUUUCCGUAAUAAGCAAA